UAAAGGAAUAGUUCAUUCAAAAAGAAAAAUUAACUCACCCUCAGGCCAUCCAAGAGCAUUGCUUUGUUGAUUUUGUUUCUUCAUCGGAACAGGUUUGGAGAAGUUAACAACACAUCACUUUGUCACCUAUGGAUCCUUUGCUGUGAAUGGGUGCCGUCAGAAUGAAAGUUUGAACUGAUAAAAACAUCACAACAAUUCACAGAUAUGCAGAGGAUCCACUUGUGAGCAAGCAAUGUAGGGUUACAUUUCAGCAAAUCUGUUCCAGUAAACAUUACAAACUCAUCUGUGUACAUCUUGGAUGGCCUGAGGCAAAGGAAAAUCAGUCUCCUCUUGGCUUAUAUCAAUAUCCUACAACAAGAAGGCCUAAGGCAAGAUGUAGGACCCAUGUAAAUAUCGGAUCAGCUUUCCAGCGCUUGAGAGAACUCAAGGAGCGGAAGGCCUGCGAUCGGACGCCGAGGUUGCUUUGUUUCUUCUCAAUAGGUGAGUAACACCGUGUCUGCGCCAUAACAGCUGAAGUCUGAGUAAUUCAUUUUUGGGUGAACUAUCCCUUUAAAUCCCAUUUUACUUGUAUUUUGUUAAUUUUCAGAUUCAACUUGCAUUAGACAUUAAGACAUUAACAGAUAUUAUCAAAAUUAUCAAACAGAAAUAUUACAAGACAGCUACUUCUUUCUGCUGAAUCCACUGACGUUUUGAGCGUUUCCAUACUUUCUGAUGUUUCAAUGGUCUUGUAACAAAAGGUAGAGCUUUUGAGGAAAUUCAGUGUACUUACAAGGACCUGGACACUUUUUACAAGUCUGUAU
ensembl:lncRNA